rnacentral:lncRNA from 1 species
ACUAGAUGAUACAGGUGCAGUACCCUGGAAGUUUGGGAGCAGGCAGAAGCAGACAUCAUCUAGCUAAUGGACUUCUGGGGACAGAUCCAAAAUGGACAUCUGAAGACAAAGCCAGCCUUUUCUCCAAGUUAGCAUGAAGUGGAGGCAUGGAAAGCAGAGAGAAGCCAGUGCUUGAAUGGCCCAUGCAGCCAUAGCCCAUUUUCCCUACAGCUUCCCGGGCAGCCCAAAUAUCCUGAGCAUGCUCAGAAGAGACAAGCUUGACCACUAUGCCAUCGUCCAUUACUACGGAGUCAGCCAUGAAGACUAUAGAAGGUAUCACCUGUGUGUUCAUGACGGACACUGAAGCCAAUGCGCACCAAAUCAGACAGGCUGGAGAGGAGCUCUGUAAUAUAAAUGUGACCAUUUAUAGGCCCCACUCAGGCCUAAGGGAUAGAAGUCACAGGUUCAUCUGGCUCCUGGUUAUAAUGAUUCAAAUGUUACUGACAAAAUUGGGGUCAUCUCUACGUAGUCUAACUAAUUCCAAAUUCAAAUAUUUUUUCAACAUUUACAAAAUAAAAUAAAAUAAGACAAAGCCCAAUUCUUUGUGCUAUUUUAUUUAAGUGACUUUUCACUGUGAAGGACUAGCUAGAGAAGGUGAAUUCAGUUGUGACUCAAACAGACAGACCCUGUUGUGACCCGCUGGGAGGAAAGGGACAGAGCCAAAGCUUCCUUUCGGCAAUGAAUGCCCCUGCUCCUUCCUUGGCACGUCUUGGAUCUUGGCUAGUCAGGUACUUGCUAACAUGGCUUGGGAUGAGUCUUAUAAAAUCCCCUUGUCUUUAAUACUGGUGAAGCUUAUAACUUGCCUCUAAUUGAAUAUGGCAAAGUUAGCAGGAUGCUGGCCCUACAAUUGUGCAGCUUCCUUGCUGCCUUUGAGGUUAUGAUUGCAGC